ACGGGGUGCAGCAGGCGCGAAAACUUUGCAAUACACGAAAGUGUGACAGGGCUAUCCCGAGUGCCAUCCGCUGAGGAAGGCUUUUACCCAGUUUAGAACGCUGGGAGAAUAAGGAGAGGGCAAGACUGGUGUCAGCCGCCGCGGUAAUACCAGCUCUCCGAGUGGUGUGGAUGUUUAUUGGGCCUAAAGCAUCCGUAGCUGGCUGGGCAAGUCCCCUGUUAAAUCCACCGAUUUAAUCGUUGGAGUGCGGGGGAUACUGCUCGGCUAGGGGACGGGAGAGGCAGACGGUAUUUUCGGGGUAGGGGUGAAAUCCUAUAAUCCCGGGAAGACCACCAGUGGCGAAGGCUGUCUGCUAGAACGCGCCCGACGGUGAGGGAUGAAAGCUGGGGUAGCGAACCGGAUUAGAUACCCGGGUAGUCCCAGCCGUAAACGAUGCAGGCUAGGUGUUUGGGCGGCCACGUGCCGCUCUAGUGCCGCAGGGAAGCCGUUAAGCCUGCCGCCUGGGGAGUACGGCCGCAAGAUUGAAACUUAAAGGAAUUGGCGGGGGAGCAC
rnacentral:rRNA from 1 species